CUCUCUUCAUUCUCUCAGAUUCUCACUCUCCCUCGACUCCCUCGACUCCCUCUCCCUAUCCCUUCCUUCCCUCGACUUCAACUCUCAUACUCUUUCACUCUCACUCACACACUUACUCUCACAGUGCUCACCGCCGUCGGCACCAACUCUCAGACUCUCACAGUGCUGUCGCGACCAACACAACGGCACCACCUUUGCCGUCGUGACCACCAUCAUCACCCCAUCACCACCACCGUUGCGACCACCUGCUGCUACUAAAAUUUAGGCACUCCAUGGACUGAAGAGGAACAUACUAACUACAUAGCUUGGUAAAGGUGAUUGGCUGACGAUAUAGGUGCCAGCAUUGGUCUUCUUUAAAUUGAAAAUAAGUGAUUUAGUUUAGACUUACAUUUACCAUGGGUAGUGAGUUUAAUUGUUCGCUCUUUAUGCCCAUUUGCUCUUUAUGGUUAAUUGUGUUCACUCUGUUCAUAGUUUUUUUGCUUAGUUAACUCAGCAUUUUAGUUACUAUAUAGUUAUUUGUUGGAGAUUUUGGUAGUGAGUUUUUUAAGUGAUCUGAUAAUUCGGUUUUCGACUUUGCGCAUAUUUAGGUGAACUUGAUCAUGGGUGAAUCUGAUAUGGAGAUUUUGGUUUUUAGGGGUUUAGGAGCUGGUGAGUCUAUAGAAUAA
rnacentral:sRNA from 1 species